AGUAACACGUGGGUAACCUGCCUGUAAGACUGGGAUAACUCCGGGAAACCGGGGCUAAUACCGGAUGCUUGUUUGAACCGCAUGGUUCAAACAUAAAAGGUGGCUUCGGCUACCACUUACAGAUGGACCCGCGGCGCAUUAGCUAGUUGGUGAGGUAAUGGCUCACCAAGGCAACGAUGCGUAGCCGACCUGAGAGGGUGAUCGGCCACACUGGGACUGAGACACGGCCCAGACUCCUACGGGAGGCAGCAGUAGGGAAUCUUCCGCAAUGGACGAAAGUCUGACGGAGCAACGCCGCGUGAGUGAUGAAGGUUUUCGGAUCGUAAAGCUCUGUUGUUAGGGAAGAACAAGUACCGUUCGAAUAGGGCGGUACCUUGACGGUACCUAACCAGAAAGCCACGGCUAACUACGUGCCAGCAGCCGCGGUAAUACGUAGGUGGCAAGCGUUGUCCGGAAUUAUUGGGCGUAAAGGGCUCGCAGGCGGUUUCUUAAGUCUGAUGUGAAAGCCCCCGGCUCAACCGGGGAGGGUCAUUGGAAACUGGGGAACUUGAGUGCAGAAGAGGAGAGUGGAAUUCCACGUGUAGCGGUGAAAUGCGUAGAGAUGUGGAGGAACACCAGUGGCGAAGGCGACUCUCUGGUCUGUAACUGACGCUGAGGAGCGAAAGCGUGGGGAGCGAACAGGAUUAGAUACCCUGGUAGUCCACGCCGUAAACGAUGAGUGCUAAGUGUUAGGGGGUUUCCGCCCCUUAGUGCUGCAGCUAACGCAUUAAGCACUCCGCCUGGGGAGUACGGUCGCAAGACUGAAACUCAAAGGAAUUGACGGGGGCCCGCACAAGCGGUGGAGCAUGUGGUUUAAUUCGAAGCAACGCGAAGAACCUUACCAGGUCUUGACAUCCUCUGACAAUCCUAGAGAUAGGACGUCCCCUUCGGGGGCAGAGUGACAGGUGGUGCAUGGUUGUCGUCAGCUCGUGUCGUGAGAUGUUGGGUUAAGUCCCGCAACGAGCGCAACCCUUGAUCUUAGUUGCCAGCAUUCAGUUGGGCACUCUAAGGUGACUGCCGGUGACAAACCGGAGGAAGGUGGGGAUGACGUCAAAUCAUCAUGCCCCUUAUGACCUGGGCUACACACGUGCUACAAUGGACAGAACAAAGGGCAGCGAAACCGCGAGGUUAAGCCAAUCCCACAAAUCUGUUCUCAGUUCGGAUCGCAGUCUGCAACUCGACUGCGUGAAGCUGGAAUCGCUAGUAAUCGCGGAUCAGCAUG
rnacentral:rRNA from 1 species